CCUACGGGAGGCAGCAGUAGGGAAUCUUCCACAAUGGACGAAAGUCUGAUGGAGCAACGCCGCGUGAGUGAUGAAGGUUUUCGGAUCGUAAAACUCUGUUGUAAGGGAAGAACAAGUACGUUAGGAAAUGAACGUACCUUGACGGUACCUUAUUAGAAAGCCACGGCUAACUACGUGCCAGCAGCCGCGGUAAUACGUAGGUGGCAAGCGUUGUCCGGAUUUAUUGGGCGUAAAGCGCGCGCAGGUGGUUUCUUAAGUCUGAUGUGAAAGCCCACGGCUCAACCGUGGAGGGUCAUUGGAAACUGGGGAACUUGAGUGCAGAAGAGGAUAGUGGAAUUCCAAGUGUAGCGGUGAAAUGCGUAGAGAUUUGGAGGAACACCAGUGGCGAAGGCGACUGUCUGGUCUGUAACUGACACUGAGGCGCGAAAGCGUGGGGAGCAAACAGGAUUAGAUACCCUGGUAGUCCACGCCGUAAACGAUGAGUGCUAAGUGUUAGGGGGUUUCCGCCCCUUAGUGCUGCAGCUAACGCAUUAAGCACUCCGCCUGGGGAGUACGAUCGCAAGAUUGAAACUCAAAGGAAUUGACGG
rnacentral:rRNA from 1 species